rnacentral:tRNA from 1 species
GCCUUCUAUGGCUUGCUGGAAACCCUCUAUUUGUAUCUCCGGCCUUGUAAGCCGGUGGUCGCGGGGUUCGAAUCCCACCGGCA